GGUCUGUUAGUCUAGAGGUUAGGACGUUGGAUUUUGAUUCCAAAGACAUGGGUUCAAUUCCCGUACGGACCU
rnacentral:tRNA from 2 species